rfam:Pseudoalteromonas citrea DSM 8771 strain NCIMB 1889 contig070, whole genome shotgun sequence.
GCCAGUGUGAUGGAAUUGGUAGACAUGACGGAUUCAAAAUCCGUUGCCUUCGGGCGUGGCGGUUCAAGUCCGCCCACUGGUA